rnacentral:lncRNA from 1 species
AAGAGAUUCAAUACAAAUAUCCAAUUUUGAGAUAAGGGAUGGAUAACCAUAGUGCAUGCCCUCAGAACUUUUAAUCUUUAUGAAACAUUUGAAGACCUCGAGAAAGGACAAUACCCUUGGUUCUAUACAGAUGCUGUCAUGAAUUCAUCUUAUAUCAGUUUCAUAAAUCUGAGAAAACAAACUAGAGAGAAGGCAACACAUAUUUCAUUUUAGCUG